CGCUCAGUGGCAUCAUCUUCCGCUGACCUACAUUUCCAGCCAUAUCAUUCAUUUCUCCCACCUCAAACGCCAGCCUCCACCAUCCAGGACGAUUCACAGGUGAGAAAUCUGCAGUGAAGAAAGGUACAUCCCAAGGGGACACCGACAGUAAGCAGCGGAGCUGGGAUUCCAGACACGUGGCUGGGCCUCUGCAGGAAGAAAUCAAACGUGUGGAAGGGUUGGGGAGAGGAGAUGCCUAGAAGGGAUUUUCCUGUAUUCUCUUAGUGGUGGGGGUAAGACCGAGGACCCAAGUCCUCACUCAUCACGUCCUCCCCAGUGAUGCAAGGAUGGAGCUGGGGUAAAACCAGGGAGAAUCAGGACCCUCACGUCGCUGCGUUUAUUAAGCAUCAGGGUCAGAGCUGGGCAGGAGAGGAGGGGAGGCAAGGUCUAGGUGAGAGACGUUCUGGAACCAGCCAGUGGGGUGGUAGGUCGGGAGGUAGAUGUCACAUGUCAGGGUCACUUGGCCUGAAUGGUUUUUUGGAUCCAGUUCGUGUAUCUGCAGACGUUGGUGUAGACUCCUGGCUUCUCCUUUGAUCCACAGGGGAUGUUACCCCAUGACACAAGGCCUCGGAGGUGGUCUCCACAUACCAGCGGACCCCCAGAAUCACCCUGCAGGAAAGAGGGAGAAAGCCCUGUCCCAUUGGUCCUCACCAUUAGCCCAUCUUCCCAUGGCCCCUCACCAAUUUUCCCACUCCCCAUCCUUUGGCACACUUCCCCAAGUAGCCAGUAGCCUGCUCCCCACCAGCCUCCCACUACUGACCAUCUGCUGUCUUGCCCCAGCCCAGGAUGUGGCAGCUGGUGGUGUUGGCUGAGCAGUCCCUCUCCAGGGGAAGGGGCUGGAUGAGUUCAGAGAGUUUGGCUGGGCGUGCCAGGCGCAACAGCAUGAUGUCCUGGUCAUGGCUGGCGGCAUCAUAGUCAGGGUGGAUCACAGCCCGGACAACAGAACUCUGCUCCUGGGAACUCUCCCUUUGCCGAAGGUUAUGCUUCCCCAGGAAGACCUGAAGAUUCCUGGGAAGGAAGAGGGCUGGGUCUCACCUGGAGCCCUUGGGCUGCAGUUGAGGCUUCAGAGAGGGCUGGGAAGUCAUGAAUCGCUGGCCUGCUCCUCCCACAGUCUUCCCCAGCUGGGGCAAUGCUGUCCACUAAAUGCUACGAUGCCAUGAUCUCGAUCUGCACUGUCCAGAGGUGGCUGGGGGAACCACAAGCUACAGGGGGCAGCUGUGAGGACCCACAGUGGAUGGAUAAGGACCCCACCACAGAGCAAGUGGCCCGAGGUGUAGAGGGCAGCUUGGUAGGGGUGAGAUGUCUUGUCGCAGGGUCCGCCAUGCACCAACUUAUUCUGCUCCUCUGCCCAGGCUGAGGGAGAGAAGAUCUGAGUCAGAGAGGAGUUCUGGAGAAACCAAGCGCAUCCCCCUCAACAUGAACUCCAGUCAAGAUUGGUCAGGUGCAGUGGCUUAUGCCUGUAAUCCCAGCUGAGGCAGGAGGAUCGCUUGAGCCCAGGAGUUUG
rnacentral:lncRNA from 1 species